UACGUAGGGUGCAGGCGUUAUUCGGAAUUACUGGGCGUAAAGCGCGCGCAGGCGGUUUGCUAAGUCAGGUGUGAAAUCCCCGGGCUUAACCUGGGAACUGCGCUUGUUACUGGCAGGCUUGAGUGUGGCAGAGGGGGGUGGAAUUCCACGUGUAGCAGUGAAAUGCGUAGAGAUGUGGAGGAACACCGAUGGCGAAGGCAGCCCCCUGGGCUAACACUGACGCUGAUGCACGAAAGCGUGGGGAGCAAACAGG
rnacentral:rRNA from 1 species